UCUCUUGUCCCACUAAGUCAGGCUGCUCUCUCUUCUGUCCCUCCCUGUGGUCUCUCGCCUGAGUCCAGAAGAGAGGGACUGACUCCGGGAAAGCUCCCCAUUCACCAGGCACAGCUUUGGAGAUGAGACCCUGGUGGUAGCAGAUCCUGGGGCAACAAGGAUAAAUCAGCCAAACUGAACUAGGAGGACAAGCUGGGCCCAUUGCCUGUCCCAAGCAUCCUGGUGUUGGGCUCUCACUCACCGGAACCUGGCUGAUAGACCUCCCGGAUGUCCAGCUCCAGCAGCUCAGCACU